rnacentral:rRNA from 1 species
GACGAACGCUGGCGGCGUGCUUAACACAUGCAAGUCGAACGGAAAGGCCCUGCUUUUGUGGGUUGCUCGAUUGGCGAACGGGUGAGUAACACGUGAGUAACCUGCCCUUGACUUUGGGAUAACUUCAGGAAACUGGGGCUAAUACCGGAUAGGAGCUCCUGCUGCAUGGUGUGGGUUGGAAAGUUUCGGCGGUUGGGGAUGGACUCGCGGCUUAUCAGCUUGUUGGUGGGGUAGUGGCUUACCAAGGCUUUGACGGGUAGCCGGCCUGAGAGGGUGACCGGCCACAUUGGGACUGAGAUACGGCCCAGACUGCUACGGGAGGCAGCAGUGGGGAAUAUUGCACAAUGGGCGGAAGCCUGAUGCAGCAACGCCGCGUGCGGGAUGACGGCCUUCGGGUUGUAAACCGCUUUCGCCUGUGACGAAGCGUGAGUGACGGUAAUGGGUAAAGAAGCACCGGCUAACUACGUG